rnacentral:rRNA from 1 species
AACGAACGUUAGCGGUGUGGAUUAGGCAUGCAAGUCGAGCGCGAAAGCCCGCAAGGGUGAGUAAAGCGGCGAAAGGGUGAGUAAUACGUAAUCAACUUACCCCUGAGACCGGAAUAACCG